rnacentral:lncRNA from 1 species
GGGUUAGGAAAAUUAUACGUUUUAUUAGUUGCAUAAUAUUAAAUUAUAUAUAAAUAAAAAUGUUUAAAUGGUUACCUACCUAUUGUUUUGAACUUAAAUGUCAUUAUGGUCAUGAAUCUUAUAAAAAAAUUUAAAAGCAAAAACAAAAACGUUUAAAAAUUAAACAAACUUUCAAAAUAGUUAAAGAAUGGUUUAACUUAGCUUGUAAAAGUAGUAAUUUACCUUGGUAAUUUACAACUAACAGGCACUCUAAAUGGCGGGCAAAGUUUUAGGUGGAAAAAACUGGUUCAUAGUAAGGACCAUUGGAUAACCUUGCCAUUGGAUAGGUGAUAGAUAGGUGUAUUCUCAAAUAAAGUUUGGAUACUAAAUCAAGACUGCGAUAGGAUUUUAUAUCAAGUAUAUGGAGCUGAUCAUGAUAGUGAUUUAAACAAACAAUAUUGUAAUGAGCUGUUAAGCAACUAUCUUCAUCUAGAUGUUGAUUUAUCAGAACAUUAUCCAAAAUGGAACAAUCGAGAUCCACAUUUCAAAGAAGCUGCUAAGCAAUUAUACGGUAUCAGAAUAUUAAGACAAGAUCCCACUGAAAAUAUAUUUUCUUUUGUUUGUUCACAACUUUGGUUCACAAAAUAACCACAUUUCUAGGUAUUUCUAGGUAAAAAGGAGACAAUUAAAACAAAAAUCUAUUUAAGUUUUAAACAUUGUAAUAUGAAAUAGAAAUUAAAAAAGUUGAAACAUAAAAACUGUGAUGCAAAUAAGAAAAAACCAGGCGUUUCACUGGCUAGAGUCAACUAGAGUCAGGCAAUAAUGCGAUAAGGCAUAAGGUUGAUAUCACGUUGAUAUAAAAAAAUUAAACAUCUAUUUUUGUAGAGGUAAAAACAAGGUUAAACAAUAAAUAAGAAAAAUCAUUGUAAAACUUAUGUACUCAUUGUUUACCUCAUGAUAGAUACAAAAUUGGAGUCAUUUUCUAUGGACACAAGGAAGGAGAUAAAAUAUUACAUAAUAUGUUUACAAAAUUCACUGGAAUCAUCUCCGAAUUAUUUGUAUUUGCAAAUCGAAUGAUGGACCAUCAAGCAGGACUCCAUAAUUAUUGAAGGUUGUCUAAUGAAUUUAUUCAUGGAAUAAGAAACAGACGAAGGACAAUGAUUGGCUAAGGAUAUUAAUUCAAACAGCAGAAGAUAUUAUAGCUGAAACAGCCAUAGCUGAACAACAAAGAUUUGAAUCUAUGAAACGCAAGUGAGUUGAUCAAUCGGACCUGUUCUUACCUUCGAACGCCACUGCAAUACCCAUAACUACCAGGGCUUCAACACCAGCUGGUUUUUGUUUACUUUAAUAUAUUUUCUUAUAAAAUAUUUAGUAUUUUUAUAUGACAUUAUAUUAAACACAAUUACAUUUA